rnacentral:rRNA from 1 species
GGUUGAUCCUGCCAGUAGUCAUAUGCUUGUCUCAAAGAUUAAGCCAUGCAUGUCUAAGUAUAAGCACUUUAUACUGUGAAACUGCGAAUGGCUCAUUAAAUCAGUUAUAGUUUAUUUGAUAAUACCUUACUACUUGGAUAACCGUGGUAAUUCUAGAGCUAAUACAUGCUUAAAAUCCCGACUUCUGGAAGGGAUGUAUUUAUUAGAUAAAAAACCAAUCGAGGCAACUCGUUAUUAGGUGAAUCAUGAUAACUAUUCGAAUCGUAUGACUUUACGUCGACGAUGGUUCAUU